rnacentral:rRNA from 1 species
AGCAGCCGCGGUAAUUCCAGCUCCAAUAGCGUAUAUUAAAGUUGUUGCAGUUAAAAGCUCGUAGUUGAAUUUCGGGAUUUGUCAGUUGGUCGGGCUUCACUGUCCGUACUGACUUGAUGGAUUCUUACCUUCUGAAUAACCAGCAUGCUAUUUAGUUAGUGCGUUGGGGAAGCAGAUCUAUUACCUUGAAAAAAUUAGAGUGCUUAAAGCGGGCUAGUGCUUGAAUAGAUUAGCAUGGAAUAAUAAAAUAGGACGGCAUGGUUCUAUUUUGUUGGUUUCUAGGAUCACCGUAAUGAUUAAUAGGGAUAGUUGGGGGCAUUAGUAUUCAAUUGUCAGAGGUGAAAUUCUUGGAUUUAUUGAAGACUAACUUCUGCGAAAGCAUUUGCCAAGGAUGUUUUCAUUAAUCAAGAACGAAAGUUAGGGGAUCGAAGACGAUCAGAUACCGUCGUAGUCUUAACCAUAAACUAUGCCGACUAGGAAUCGGACGAAGUUAAUUUUAUAAUGACUCG